rnacentral:rRNA from 1 species
GACGAACGCUGGCGGCGUGCCUAAUACAUGCAAGUCGAGCGAGCGGAACUAACAGAUUUACUUCGGUAAUGACGUUAGGAAAGCGAGCGGCGGAUGGGUGAGUAACACGUGGGGAACCUGCCCCAUAGUCUGGGAUACCACUUGGAAACAGGUGCUAAUACCGGAUAAGAAAGCAGAUCGCAUGAUCAGCUUUUAAAAGGCGGCGUAAGCUGUCGCUAUGGGAUGGCCCCGCGGUGCAUUAGCUAGUUGGUAAGGUAAAGGCUUACCAAGGCGAUGAUGCAUAGCCGAGUUGAGAGACUGAUCGGCCACAUUGGGACUGAGACACGGCCCAAACUCCUACGGGAGGCAGCAGUAGGGAAUCUUCCACAAUGGACGCAAGUCUGAUGGAGCAACGCCGCGUGAGUGAAGAAGGUUUUCGGAUCGUAAAGCUCUGUUGUUGGUGAAGAAGGAUAGAGGUAGUAACUGGCCUUUAUUUGACGGUAAUCAACCAGAAAGUCACGGCUAACUACGUGCCAGCAGCCGCGGUAAUACGUAGGUGGCAAGCGUUGUCCGGAUUUAUUGGGCGUAAAGCGAGCGCAGGCGGAAGAAUAAGUCUGAUGUGAAAGCCCUCGGCUUAACCGAGGAACUGCAUCGGAAACUGUUUUUCUUGAGUGCAGAAGAGGAGAGUGGAACUCCAUGUGUAGCGGUGGAUGCGUAGAUAUAUGGAAGAACACCAGUGGCGAAGGC